UAGUUCAUCAAUUUGAUAUGAAAAAAUUGCCUGGUAGAUCUGACUACUAACAUUAACGCUCUAUACAAAUCCCUAUUCCCAUAUCCAUCUAGCAAACUAAAUGAUGGUCAGAAAAGUCAUUAAUAGCAGCACCCAUAAUAUAAAUUUUUAAAAUCCAAAUCGAAAUAUUUCACAUGAACAGAAAGAAAACACAUACAGAAAUCUAAGAUCUAAGAGUACUUCUAUAUUUUCAUGGGACUUGUUGCUGCAAGACUCUAGAGGUG
rnacentral:lncRNA from 1 species